rnacentral:misc_RNA from 1 species
GAUGAAGAACGUAGCGAAAUGUGAUACGUAGUGUGAAUUGCAGAAUUCAGUGAAUCAUCGAAUCUUUGAACGCACAUUGCACCUCUCGGUAUUCCGGGAGGUAUGCCUGUUCGAGCGUCGUUUGUACCCUCAAGCUCUGCUUGGUGUUGGGUGUUUGUUCCGCCUCUGUGUGUGAACUCGCCUCAAAACAAUUGGCAGCCGGCGUACUUGUUUCGGAGCGCAGCACAUUUUGCGAUCCAGAUCAACGUACAGCGGCAUCCAAGAAGCCUUAUUUAACGCUCUUGACCUCGGAUCAGGUAGGGAUACCCGCUGAACUUAAGCAUAUCAAUAAGCGGAGGA